UACGGAGGAUGCAAGCGUUAUCCGGAUUUAUUGGGUUUAAAGGGUCCGCAGGCGGAAAGAUAAGUCAGUGGUGAAAGCCCGUAGCUCAACUACGGAACUGCCAUUGAUACUGUUUUUCUUGAGUAUGGUUGCCGUUGGCGGAAUAUAACAUGUAGCGGUGAAAUGCUUAGAUAUGUUAUAGAACACCGAUUGCGAAGGCAGCUAACGAAACCAUUACUGACGCUCAGGGACGAAAGCGUGGGGAGCAAACAGG
rnacentral:rRNA from 1 species